GGCAUAUCAUCUUCCACAUGUGGGGCUUUAUCUCUACGAUAAUCCCCGCAAUGGCGUCUCAUUUGUGCCUUCCAUCCCACUAGAGCACUCACUGAUACAAGUAGUUGGCAUUACUGAAUUGGGUGCUUAUCUUGAAGCAGCUUCCAAUGUCAUCCCAUUUACUCCCCCAGCUCGUUCUGUCUUCAUCAGGCCAGCAUCUGCACCUCUUUAUAUUACAGUGGCUACCCUUAUGGAGAAAAUCGUCGGCCCUCUUUCGACCGGCUUGCUAAGGCUUGCUUCGACAGACGUCAGAGUGAACCCAAUUGUUAGAUUCAAUUACUUUUCUCAUCCGAUAGAUGUAGAAAGGUGUGUAAAUGGAACAAGAAAGAUUGGAGAUGUUCUUAGGAGUCGGUCCAUGGAGGAAUUUAUGUUCCGUGAAUGGUUCGGAGCUCGACGUUUCAGAUUCAUAGGGCCUGCAUUGCCUGUUGAUCAAUCUGAUUAUGUGCAGAUGGCUGAUUUUUGUCGCAGAACUGUUAGCACCAUAUGGCAUU
rnacentral:misc_RNA from 1 species